UGGGGUGGAUCCAGGUAGGGUGGCGGUGUUUGCAAAACACACGUUCUGGAGUUCGAGUCUCCUCACCCCAUCCA
rnacentral:tRNA from 1 species